GACGAACGCUGGCGGCGUGCCUAAUACAUGCAAGUAGAACGCACAGUUUAUACCGUAGCUUGCUACACCAUAGACUGUGAGUUGCGAACGGGUGAGUAACGCGUAGGUAACCUGCCUGGUAGCGGGGGAUAACUAUUGGAAACGAUAGCUAAUACCGCAUAAUAUUAAUUAUUGCAUGAUAAUUAAUUGAAAGGUGCAAUUGCACCACUACCAGAUGGACCUGCGUUGUAUUAGCUAGUAGGUGAGGUAACGGCUCACCUAGGCGACGAUACAUAGCUGACCUGAGAGGGUGAUCGGCCACACUGGGACUGAGACACGGCCCAGACUCCUACGGGAGGCAGCAGUAGGGAAUCUUCGGCAAUAGACGAAAGUCUGACCGAGCAACGCCGCGUGAGUGAAGAAGGUUUUCGGAUCGUAAAGCUCUGUUGUAAGAGAAGAACGGGUGUGAGAGUGGAAAGUUCACACUGUGACGGUAUCUUACCAGAAAGGGACGGCUAACUACGUG
rnacentral:rRNA from 1 species